rnacentral:rRNA from 1 species
UACGUAGGGUGCAAGCGUUGUCCGGAAUUAUUGGGCGUAAAGAGCUCGUAGGCGGUUUGUCGCGUCGGCUGUGAAAUCCCGAGGCUCAACCUCGGGCCUGCAGUCGAUACGGGCAAACUAGAGUGUGGUAGGGGAGACUGGAAUUCCUGGUGUAGCGGUGAAAUGCGCAGAUAUCAGGAGGAACACCGGUGGCGAAGGCGGGUCUCUGGGCCGUAACUGACGCUGAGGAGCGAAAGCGUGGGGAGCGAACAGG